GGUAGUGUGGCCGAGUGGUCAAAGGCGCUGGUUUCUGGUACCAGUCUCAUCGGAGGAGUGGGUUCGAAUCCCAUCGCUGUCA